GAUAGAGUAUAUAAUAAUAGAUAUUAUAAACCAUUAUGAACAUUAAAAUAAGCUUUAUAAAGAUAUGGAUGGCAAUGAUAAACAUAAUCUCAGAUUUAAUUUGCUCAGUGAAAAUAAAGAUGUUUCUUAACGAUGGAUUCAAAUUCUUACUUGCACCUCCAACCAAAAUUAUUUUGCUCAUAAAUAAUCAACAAACUACAUCAUCAGAUUUAAUCUUCUUAUUGCUAGAUGCAUCAUAAUCGUUCCAGUUUCUAAUCAAUCUUCUUGUCAUAGUCAUUCCUGCACUUGCACUUACAACAGACGAAACACGUGUUCUUGGUGAUCAUACAAGCCUUGUAAUAAAAAAAUAGUAAUCAAACACGAGAAUUAACAAGAUUCACAAGUGAAAACAAAUACAAAUUUUUUUUGAGCAUAUACAUGACUUUUUCCUAUGUCAUUUCUUCUUGUAAUCAGAAGCAAAAUACCAAGUUUAGACAAACCCUAAAAACUCCAAACACUUGAACAAACAUUAUAUUAUUUUUCCAACUAUCACAGAUAAUCAUAAUCAACAAAGCUUUAAUAAUUAUAUGAUCACAGGACAUCAUUAUUUUAAUCCUCAAUGCUCAAAAAAUUAAGAAUCACAAUCAAAUUUUGGUUAUUACCCUAAGUUGAUUGCUUAGAAUUACUAGUAAUAACUUUAAAAGCAAAUCCAAACAGCCCUAAAUUGAUAAGUUUAGGGAAAAACAUGAGAGCAACAUUUUUUAGAAAAAAUCUAAAAACAUGUAUGCCAAUUUAGAAUUUUGGUUGAAAGCAAAUUUGAUGUACAAAAACCACAUAUAUACAAUAAAUAAAUGCCAUAACUUUACUUAUAAUAGAAAAACAUGUAUAGAAGAAGAAAACUACUUACAAAGAGGCCGAUGAGGAGUGGUGGUCUCAAAGAAACGCAUCUAAUUCCAAAUGUAGAAACUGCAAAAAAAAAAAUCAUCAAAAUUAAUGAUAUAGGACAGAAAUCAAGAGUUUGAAGGAUAGAAAAUAUAAGGUACUUGCAAUGAUAAGCCUUCCACCAGUAGAUGACAAGUAGAUGACAACUGCAACUCAUAUUCUGAUCUAUUACCAAAAGGGCAUUUACGUCUUUUUGCAUAGUAAUGAAGUAAUAUAAAGUAAUGAGUACUGACCUUGACUUGCUUAAUGAAAGAAACAGCAUUCAACAUUCCACUUCUUGAUAAUCAGACCAAAUUAAAGCGUUAUAAGAAGAGAUUUAGGGAUUUAAAACAUAAUAGGAAGAUAUAAAUCAUAAUUAGAAGAGAUAUAUCUCUGCAUCUACAGUAUUGACACUUCCCUUAUGCAUGAUUUAGAUCUUUAGCAAGCUCAUAUGUAAUCAAUACCAAUCGAAUGUAGUGAUUGCAUGUAAUCAAACCUGAAAACAAAAAGAAAUUCCUCAACAUUUUUAUAUCCCCUUCUUAAUUACAAUUGAGAACAAAUUUGUGGAAAGACUUAUCAAAAACAUCAUAGAAGAUCAACUCCUAACUUAUCAACAAGAGUGUCACCUAAUCAGCAAUCUCAAAUAAAACAUGUUUAGGGCUUACCUUUACACUCGAUUAUAGGCUUCUAAGCUCUUGUACUGUUGAGAUGAAGACCCAAAAAAAACCGAGAAAACACCAAUGGGGAUAUGGGGCUAUUUCGUGAGAAACUCAUUGAAAAAUGUUCUGAUAGGAGAAGGAAGGAGCCUAAUGGCAUCGAUCCUAGAAUUCUUAAUUCCAUCUCAACUCGAUUCGUGAUCUGACUUGGCACAUUAUCCAGAUCGACGGUUUUAUAUUGUUUUCUCCACAAAAUCGUCAGUACCUUGAUUAUGAAGAGAAGUUGUUCAUACUAUUUUCAACCAGCCAAUAGAGGAUGAACAAGGGUUAGGGGAAACACGAUCGACGAUAUGGGCUAAGGCGCGAUGUGGAGGAGCCAGGGUGGAGGGACGGAUAGGUAACGAUGACCCCAUGAGAGAAAAACGAAAUAACGAACCCUAGUGGUUUAGAUUAUGUUGGGGGUAAUGGGAAUUUGGAAACCUGAGCGGGAUGUGAGUUGAUUUUCAAUAUUCAGGAUUGACAUCUUCGAUUGUCGAUAGCAGACGUUUAGAUCGAUGGUGCAAUGGAGAACGCGAACAUUGAAGAUAAUAGAUAUUAGGUUUAAAGAGGAGGGAAUUACUAAAUCUAAAAAAUUUCACGUAGAGGGAAUCUGAAACUUUU
rnacentral:lncRNA from 1 species